GAGGGAAUCUUUGGCAAUGGGGGGAACCCUGACCGAGCAACGCCGCGGGAGUGAAGAAGGUUUUCGGAUCGUAAAGCUCUGUUGUUAAGGAAGAACGAGUGUGAGAAUGGAAAGUUCAUACUGUGACGGUACUUAACCAGAAAGGGACGGCUAACUACGUGCCAGCAGCCGCGGUAAUACGUAGGUCCCGAGCGUUGUCCGGAUUUAUUGGGCGUAAAGCGAGCGCAGGCGGUUAGAUAAGUCUGAAGUUAAAGGCAGUGGCUCAACCAUUGUAGGCUUUGGAAACUGUUUAACUUGAGUGCAGAAGGGGAGAGUGGAAUUCCAUGUGUAGCGGUGAAAUGCGUAGAUAUAUGGAGGAACACCGGUGGCGAGAGCGGCUCUCUGGUCUGUAACUGACGCUGAGGCUCGAAAGCGUGGGGAGCGAACAGG
rnacentral:rRNA from 1 species